GCCUUUGAACAGACCAUGGCCUAGUGGUUAAAGCGUCCGCCUCGGAUGCGGGAGAUCGCAGGUUAGAAACCAAAUCAUACCAAUGACU